UACGUAGGCAGCGAGCGUUGUUCGGAGUUACUGGGCGUAAAGGGUGUGUAGGCGGUUCUUUAAGUUUGGUGUGAAAUCUCCCGGCUCAACCGGGAGGGUGCGCCGAAUACUGAGGGACUAGAGUGCGGGAGAGGAAAGUGGAAUUCCUGGUGUAGCGGUGAAUGCGCAGAUAUCAGGAAGAACACCCGUGGCUAAGGCGGCUCUCUAGUACGGUACUGACGCUGAGACGCGAAAGCGUGGGGAGCAAACAGG
rnacentral:rRNA from 1 species